GGGACGGGGCCCCGUAUAUUAAACGGGGCGGGGACGGGGAUAGAGGUCCCCGCCCCGUGGAGACCCGUUUAAACCCCGUUUAUGUAAAAAGACUAGAAUACCCUUAAUAUAUAUAUGUCAUAUGAAGGAAGGUGAAAACCCUAGCCGUCACACUUGAAAAGUUGCAAUUCACAAUCUUCAACCUAGUCUCUGUCUCUCUGAACUCUUCACCAGUCACCACCCUCAAACCUCAGCCUCUCGCCCUUUCUGAACCACGCACGGUCGCACCAUCACCACCACCGACCGCCACCGACUGCCACCUCUCGCCCUCGCUCUCAGUCCUUUACCGCUACGGUGCUACCUCCCACCCCUCAGUCCGUCACCGUCACCGUCAUUUUCACCGUCUUUGCGUCUUCGCCGGUCGUCACCUCUUCUCUGGUCGUCGCGCCUUUGCUUGUCAUCACUUCUUCGCCGUCGGGUAACUGGGUAAGGCAUAGAACACUGCUCACACAUGCUUUACUGUUGCUUCUCCUCUUCACUCCUCGCGGUGAAACCAUCAGUCUCGUCUCAUCUCCUCUCCUCUCCUCUCCGCUUACUGGAUUUCUAAUUUAGGGUAAUUAGGUUUAGAGUUCUGAAUUUUCUGAUUAUGAUUUCUAUUUAGGGUUGAUUUGAUUCUGAAUUUUUUAUUUAGGAUUAUUAGGUUAUUAGUUCUGAA